ACAGAUGCUUUAGCACUGAACAUGACCUAGCCUCUUCUUCUUCGAGUUUUUUUCCAUGUGCCGUCGUGAGUCGUGACCCUCAGAUCUCCGGAUUCUUCUCUGGCUGAUCGUGGCGUCGUGGGCGUUUCCAGAAGCCGGGGCGGCGAACUUCGCCGUUGGACUGUGUCUUCCACUCGUCGGCGGCUCAACAUUCUUUAGGUUUAGGUUAACAUAUUUUUAGUGGGCUUAGAUUUAAGAUGUUUAAUUUGUUGGCCCGUUUGUUUAAAUUUAUAUGAUGUGGAUUUGUAAAUUUUCCUUUUAGGCCCAUUAUUUUUGCUCAUUAAAAAGUUCGGUUGUUUAUUUCAAAAACCGAAAUAAUUAACCGAACCGAAUUAACCGAA